rnacentral:rRNA from 1 species
CAGCAGCCGCGGGAAUACGUAGGUGGCAAGCGUUGUCCGGAAUUAUUGGGCGUAAAGGGCUCGCAGGCGGUUUCUUAAGUCUGAUGUGAAAGCCCCCGGCUCAACCGGGGAGGGUCAUUGGAAACUGGGAAACUUGAGUGCAGAAGGGGAGAGUGGAAUUCCACGUGUAGCGGUGAAAUGCGUAGAGAUGUGGAGGAACACCAGUGGCGAAGGCGACUCUCUGGUCUGUAACUGACGCUGAGGAGCGAAAGCGUGGGGAGCGAACAGGAUUAGAUACCCCCGUAGUCCCUGUCUCUUAUAA